rnacentral:pre_miRNA from 1 species
AAACUGUACCUGGUGUGAUUAUAAAGCAAUGAGACUGAUUGUCAUAUGUCGUUUGUGGGAUCCGUCUCAGUUACUUUAUAGCCAUACCUGGUAUCUUA